CAAUGUAGAACUCAACAUUGAACCCAUCAGGUCUAGGAGAGGCAUUUAGCUUCAUGUCCUUUAAAGUGUUUAGAAUUUCCUCCUUGUUCGGGAUACUGCAGGUGUAGUCUUGGCUAUCAAUUGGAGGGCUGGAAUCUAGAAAAGGCCUGCCUACAUUCACAUUAGGAGAAGCAAAUAUAUACCGAAAAUAAUUUACAAAUGUAUUUGCAAUGGCCCGCGGGUUAAAAUGAAUAUUCUCAUUCUCAUCUUUUAUGGAUACAAGGGUAUUCUUCUUUCUUCUUCUGAGCAAUGCAUGGUGGAAAAUUUUAGUAUUUUUGUCUCCUUUAGAAGCAAAGUUUUUCUUUGCCCUUUGUCUGUAAAACUCAGUAAGCUUUGACAUAUUUUGUUCAUACCUUACAAUGAGAGCUGGUUCCAUUUGAUGGUCCUGCAUGGAUAAUGGUUGCAUUUUUUUGAAACGAGGCAAAAGACUUGCCAUUUCAUUGAUUAAGAAGAAGUGAGAAUUGCCCGGUUAAUUGACGGAAAACCGGGCUAAAAUCGAUACAACCCAACCCAUAAAAUGGGCACCACCGACCAACCUAGCCAACAUGCCAACAUAUGGCCACACCGGCGAACCACCGACAGCUCCGACUCGACGACGAGCUUCGCAAGGGGGAAUAUGCAAGACUUGCGCUGACCGUGCCCUCCGCAAACGACCACUGAAAGCCUGUCAUCAUCACUCGUUCCACGCAGCUUCGACUUCAAAGCAACCAAGCAACCACAUAAAAGCACCUCGGACACGUCGAGAAGAUCCGACUACUGAAGCCCGAGCAGCGACCCGAGCUCCACUCGCCACCAUCAUCGUUGCCAAACCGAAAUUAGCGCCCCUAAAAAUGGCCGCCUCAGCAAACCACGCGGCGAAGAUGCCGCCAUCCACCGCUCUCCAGGUUGUAGCCGGCUUCGAGAUGAUGCCUCCAAGGAGGAACAAGACGUGAGGUCACCUUCAUCGCCCGAUCCCGCGGAUCUGAGGUUUCCCUCCGGAGCCAAGGCUGCGGGGAGAGGGAAGGAGCACCACACAACAGCGACGCUUCCAAGGAAGAGCACGACGCCUGCGGACGUCGCCGUCGCCGGAUCCAGCAAGGCCGAAGAAAGGAUUUCUCCCGGUGACGCCCUACCAACAAAUCCCCGUAUCGGCCGGCUGCAAACCACCACCCACCACCCACCGCAGAGCACCAAGGGAGCACCUCCCGACCACUCCCGCCCCUGUUGCUGAAGCUGGCGCCAAGCUGGCCGCGGGAUCCCUCGAUCCGCCACGCCCAUGCACGCACCGCCCCCUGGCCGAAGCCGCCACCACCAGAUCCUAGCCGCCGCCCGACAACUCUAGCCCUCCACCGUAGAUGCGUGGAGUCCCCAUCACCACACCAGAUCUGGAAUGAGCCUGGGACGAGCCCAAGGUCGCCAAGUCCAGCAACCACCGCCCGGGUCGCAGAGGAGCCACCACGAAGCACUGGACCACCUCGCUAUCGCAGGGGACGGCCUCGCCGACGGACAAAGCACGUCACCUGCAAGCACGCGCCGUAGCCGACCAGGCGCCGCCGCACGUAGCCACGCCAAGCCGCCCAACCGCCGCACCCUAGCCACGCCAAGUCGCCUCAGCACCCGCCGGAGCAGCACCCAAGGUCAGCCGGCGAGCCAAGGCCAGCCAUCGCGGCGAGCAGCUCCGCCGCACGCAACCACCGAGAGGGCCACACACGCGCGCGAACGAGAUCCCGUCGCCGUCGGCCGCCCACGGGCUUUGCUCGGAGACGUGUGCCGGCGGCGGCGAGGCGAGGAGGAGGGGGGGCGGCGGCGGCUGCGGGUAGGGUUUCUGCUCGAGCCGCCCUGGGAGCGACCUGUGGGGGAUGAGCAACGGUUGCAUUUGAAUACGGAAUCAAUAACGCCCGAACGUCAGAUUUUUAGACGCCCAGCCCGAACGCUGUUUCUACCGUACGAUUUUCUGACACGAAUCACGGAACAAGCCACCAGCCACGUCACUUUUUUUCUCGUUCGGAAAGAACACGCGUCGUCGUGAAUGCCCUGGCUUCUCUUAUCCUUUCCCCCUUUUCCCCAACGAGUCUCUCAGUCUAUCCACUCCCUCCUCCACUCUGCCGCUCACUUUUCUCCCCUCCAUCUCGAGCUCGUGCGGGGCUGCCCCGGUGGCGUAUUCAGAGACCACGGCGGAGGAGCUCGUGCAGGUCGUCGCGCCGGCGACGUACUCGGAAGCCGCGGCGGACUGGCGGAGGAGCUGCUCCUGGAGCUCGAGCGUGGCGCUCCCAAGCGCUCGUGCUCGGGCGGCUCCGGCGAGGGCCGUGCUGGAGGUCAUGGCGGCUGGGGCGGCUAGGGUCGCGGAGCCGAGGAAGCCGGAGGCGACAUCGUCGGGCUGGCAUGGGGCGACCACGCCGCCACGUUCCUCAUGCUGGAGACGAUGGCAACCACACCGCCGUGUUCCUCAUGCUGCUGGUCGCCAAUGCAACGGUACUUGCAACUCCGUCCCUACAUCACACACCUACUGACUGAAUUUUCUGCAGAUGUUCAGUUUUGUUGUUGUCCUAUUGAACUAGCUUUGUUUAAGUUGCCAUCAUGUAGUUGAACUAUAGUUUGGACGCAACCGCCCCCGCGUCGUCCGGACGGACGGCACGGGCGGCUCCCGAUCCAGUUUCUUCGGGACCUCCCCACCUCUCUCGCUUCCCUCGCCGCCGCCGGACGACGCUGCCGGGCAAAGCCUGUGUGGCUGACGGCGGCGGCGGGGCUCCGGGCGAUGGCUUCUACGCAAGGCGCUGAACGGCGCGCGAGGUGAACAACAACUCAGCAGCGAUCUUCAUGCAACGUCCGAAGGCUAGAGCGAUCUGCGCAUGGACAUGCAGCGGCAGGCGAUCUGUGCACAGGGACAUGCAUAGGUCAAUGGCUAGAGCGAUCUGGGAUUCUGAACUGGGCAGCAUGGUGAUGCCUUGGCAAUGGCCUGGGUGGAGAUGACCAUCCAUUCUCCUCCAGCAGCCUGCGGUCAAGAUCAUGCAGGUUCGGACCGAAGCUUCCUCCGGCUGUCCAGUACGUUGAGCAUGGCAGCGUUGGUGAUAAGGGUCAUCUUCCCAAGCGACCCAAGACGCUCGCCGCUGUUGCCGCCGGCAGAUCACAAGGCCGAAGGAGGUUGGUGGUGGCGCCUUGGGACUUACAUCGGUUGACCGAUGCUUGUCACUUGGCCGCAGGUGGUUCGUCCGAUCGAUGCGAGGGGGCAAUUUUCGUCCUGACCAUGGCGGCACCGUCCGGCCACUCGAGCCGCAGAUUGCAGUGGCCAUUCAAGGGUCUUCAUGAGAGUUUUUUCUUAGGAUCCACUGGUUGUUGCCAGCAGCUCGCACUGGCGAGGUUGUGUGAUGUAACCGGAAGGCUCCAUUGGGAGUUUCGGUGGCUCUCAAUCUGGCCAGUUUGCAUUCAGCGGUGAGAUAAAUUCUAUGGACGACGGCUUGACGCAGAGGAGAUGGUUGUGCAGCGGCAAGCCAUGCCGGCAUGUAAAGACUGUGCCUCACUUUUAGCUGCUGGGAUCGCGGAAAGUGGUGGCGACAACAUGAUGACUUUGAUUUGGUGGUGCUUCUUGAGUACCCGGUCUCGAGUUCCGAGGUGAAAACCCUAGGUCUGACCUGAAUUGGUUAUACCUGGCGAUGGCGAUGUUUUUGCGUCGUUACCUUGAUGAAGGCAUUGCUCGGAUGUGCUCGGACUUGUUCUUCAGGGUGAAAACCUAGAGUCUGACCUUUGUUGGUCGGGUCCAGUGACGGCGACGUUUAAGCGUCGUUUCCUUCCUGAAGGCGUUGCUGUUGAAGAAACUUUCUCGUUGCGCUUGUUCUGUCAAGAGAUGGUUGGUGCGGAUAUGGUCGUUGAUGUAGUUUAUCAACCGUUGUUUUGAUCGUUUCAGAGUGUUUUUUCUUUUUCUUUUCCCUCGCUUAGGCAUAGCUUGAGUCUUGUAUGACUUUGCUCUUUGCUGGCGUUUUUUUUCCUCUUUUGUGUGUGUUGGUGUUGGCUGUGUGCAUCCUGGUUAUGCAGAGGCCGGGUGUGUGCUCAAUGUGUUUGUAUCCCCUUGAUGCUUCAUUUUGAGUUAAUAAAAUCCACCCUUUGUCGAAAAAAAAUCAUGUAGUUGAUGGAGGAGAGACCAUUGCAAACUACAUGAUGCUUGAUGCAGAAAUUUUAGUUUAAGUUGCCAUUGCAAAUUUUAUUUUAUGUUGUCAUGGCAAAUUUAUUGUAAAUAGCAUGGCAAAUUUAAUUUAAAUACGAUGGCAAAUUUUAUAUUUCUAGAACAUAGAAAAUUUUACUAUGUAGCAUCUUUAUACUUGUGAAGCCAUGCCAAUUUUUAAUUUAUUUCGAUGGCAGAAGUACUACAUUUUCUAUAACACAUGGCAACUUUUGUAAAAUUGGUGGUCUGAUCACAUAGCAAAUUUGAGAGGGAAUUAUGUUGUGUAGAUUUUUCCAUGGCAAAUUUGCCAUUCUUUUGUAGGGAAUAAACAUAUUUACUUGUUUUUUUGUUAUUUGUUGUCAUUUUCUCAAAAGUUGCCAUGUCUCAUGAUUUUCCAUCUCUCAAAAUUUGCCAUGGCAAAAUUCUUUAAAUUAAGAUGUUCAAAAACAUGGUAAGCUUGCCAUGGCAAGUUAAGAUGUUAAAAACAUGGCAAACUUGCCAUGAGUAAUUUCUCAAAAUUUGACAUGUCUCAACAUUUUUCCAUCUCUCAAAAAUUGCCAUGGCAAUUUUCUUUAAUUAUGAUGUUCAGAAACAUGGCAAACUUGCCAUGGCAAGUUAAGAUGUUAAAAACAUGGCAAACUUGCCAUGACAAAUUUCUCAAAACUUGCCAUGUCUCAACAUUUUUCCAUCUAUCAAAAUUUGCCAUGGCAAUUUUCUUUAAUUAAGAUGUUCAAAAAAUGGCAAACUUGCCAUGGCAAGUUAAGAUGUUAAAAAACAUGGCAAACUUGCCAUGUCACAACAUUUUCCAUCUCUCAAAAAAUUUCCAUGGCAAUUUUCUUUAAUUAAUAUGUUCAAAAACAUGGAAACUUGCCAUGGCGACUUAAGAUGUUAAAAAACAUUUUUCACCGCAUUGUUGCCAUGAUGGCAAGUUUCGUAUUGUAAACCUCUUCUUUUGUUUUCCAUCUUGUAUCUCUAUGUGUGUAAACUUCACGGCAACUUUUUCAUAGUGUAAACUUCGUAGUGAUGGCAUUUUUUGUAGUGUAAAGAAGCAGAUUGCCAUCCCCCUCCUGUUUCAUAUACUCAUGGCAUUGUACCUUUAACAGGGUUGGCAAUUUUCUCAAAUCCCACACAGCAUCUACAUCAAUCCCUUUUGAUACAUUAGCUUCCUGUCAUGAAAAGUUUCAAAAAACAGAUAAGGAAGUGUCGUCAGUAGCAACAAUUAGAUGGUAAGAACAAUAGGGGAAGGCAAGAAUUCACAAUUCAUCAAACUACCACACAUUUUUUUCUUGUUCUUGCCAUCCAAACAGAUCUGAGCAUGGCAAGAUCAGCACAAAUCUCAUGGCAGAUCUGAGGAUGGCAGGAUCAGCACAAAACUCAUGGCAAGAGCUGAAAAAACAAAAUUCAUGGCAAGAACAGGUUCUUUUUUCAUGCUGCUAAGUUGCCAUGCGUGGUACUUUCAGUGUAGGGUUCACAGCUUCUGUAAGGUCCCUCAGAUCUUGCCUUGGCAACAAUGGCUAGAUUAGAGAGGGGGGAAAUAGGAGGAGGGGGAGGAGGUGGUGUGGGGCACGCAAAAAUUCACCUGAUUUCACUUCAAGUAGCUUAGUUUCUGUAGGGUUCCUCCGAUCUUGCCAUGGCAAAUUCCAUGAAUAAGGGUAUGGAGGGGAAGGGGAACUAUGGUGGGGACCGGGGGUGGAGGUGGGAGACGCAGGGCGUUUUUGGAUCGGGGGUCGAGGGGAGAAGCCGUGUGGACCAAGAGGGGGGUUUCGCCACGUGGUAGUUCGGGGGUUAAGGAAUCAUGUCCGAACAAUUUUGUUCGGCUCGAGGGAGUCCCACUCCGAACAGGGUCGUUCGGACCGGCGCCCUGUGGUACCGAACGUGCGCGCGUUAUCGGGUCCUGUUGUAGACGUUUCUUCUUUU
rnacentral:lncRNA from 1 species